GAGCUGUAGCCUCGUGUACGGGAUUAGUGCCCCCCAACCA
rnacentral:tRNA from 2 species